GGGGAUUUAGCUCAGUGGUAAAGCGUUUGCCUAGCAAGCGCAAGGCCCUGGGUUCGGUCCCCAGCUCCG
rfam:Rattus norvegicus chromosome 7, whole genome shotgun sequence.